rnacentral:rRNA from 1 species
UCGCUACAUAAAAUACGCUUUGGGCUGCCCGUCGCCGCUUUACAUCGAUUUUUCUAAAGGUCGUUACUGCGCCGUGCGAGAGGGGGUGGGCGUAGUGCGGUGGUAGCAGUACGCGACUGCCGUGAGCGAGCAGUGCGCAGCGAGGAAGGUCCUACGAAGGGGGAACCUGAUAGGGAGGUGUGGUUCCUUCGAGUAAACCCUUUGGUGGUACCUACGUGGGCCACGUGCUACGAGUUGCACGGACGCCACGGGUGGCUAGUCACACUGCCGGACGUGCUCGUGCCGAUGCGGAGUGGGUGGGUGGAUGCGUCUCGCCGUAGUGUGCUAUGGUCGCGUGCGUGUCCAUCAGCGGUUGGUACUAUAUAUCAUGCUUGGAAGGAGGGAGCUCGAGGGGGGACGGGAGCGGAACGACGAGGUAUAGUGACCGGCCGACCGAUGAGGCCACCGGAACACGAUCUCGCCCUCUCACAAGGUCACAUGAUGACGCACGAACACGAAGCUUGCUGCAUGACACCUGACAUCAUGCACAGGUACCUCCGGGGCAACCGCGUCCACUGCCUACUGGACUAGUUCCCCGCCCUCAACCGCUGCGUCGACGUCCCGGAGGAGGCCCUGAGGGGGCUCCGGCCGCCAGAGUAGCACCUGGUCUAGGAGGUGCGGAAGAGGGCGCGGUAGGUGCGGCGGUCCCGGCGCCGGCGACGGUCGUGGUCGCUCUCCAGGAGCCUGCACGCCUCGCUCCAGUGGCUGCCGCGCUCGCCGCCGCGCUUCUCCUUCAGGCGGAGGCGGCGGCCGCCUCCUUUGGCGUCCCGGACGGCCUCUUCCUGGGUCGUUAGCAGGCAGCAUUGCUUCUCGUACCUCUCGAACCUGCUGCCCGUCCGUACCGCGUUCAUGCCCGUCUUCCUCUAUGUGUUGAGGUUCGUGAGCUCCCGGAUGAAGGCCACGUGCGUGUUCAUGCUGGUCGUCACGCGCCGCGUCGCCGUCCAGGUCGCGACGCUGCUACUGCUCCCGUACAAGUCCCAGUGGAUGUAGCCGCACGUGCGGACGGCCCUGGGGCGGCGGCGGCACCGCGGCGUGGAGGAGGUGGUGGACUCGCCGCGGCGGGUUCCGGACGUGCGGCCGACGGUGGAGUAGUCGAAGCGCGGGCCGUCGCAGCGAUGGCGAUGGGUACCGUGGUGGUGGUCGUGCCGCUACCCCAGGCCGGACGUCCCGUAUUUCGGACUCUCGCCGCUGGUCCUCCUCCACGACUCAUCGGCGUGGGGGCCCUCGAGACGGGACGUGUCGCGGCGGCGCCGCCGCUGCCGCGGAUGAACCGGGCUGGUCCCUCUGCACUGCAGGUGGGCCGUUAUGCCACCGUGGCAAUCGAAACCUCUCAUGGAACUACUGAUACGCAGGGAGCCCCUGGAUCACAGCAUGCAUGAGCUAGUAACUAGCCAGCUCGACACCUGGCCCUCCGCGGGUUCGUAGCUAGCUGAGCCGCGCACAUUUAGCUUUAUUACCGACGCGCCUAGGAGCUAGAAGGACUCGUGAACUCGUCGUUGGUGACGCGCAGCAUCAAAUCAAACUUCACGGAGACAUUUCUUUAUAUUCUCGCAACCCUCAUGUCAAAUAAAAGCACAGUACUGUUAAUCUACGACGUUCAACCCAUAACAGAAUCAACUCGGAUACGAAAACAGAGGGGGUUCACUGACUCUUCACGUGUCUUUUAAAGUCACAUAAAACGUGAACUGAGGUGCUGAAAUACGAUUAAAACCAAAGUACAA